CCUACGGGUGGCAGCAGUGGGGAAUAUUGGACAAUGGGCGGAAGCCUGAUCCAGCCAUGCCGCGUGUGUGAAGAAGGCCUUCGGGUUGUAAAGCACUUUCAGUGGGGAAGAAAGCCUUGGGGCUAAUACCCUCGAGGAAGGACAUCACCCACAGAAGAAGCACCGGCUAACUCCGUGCCAGCAGCCGCGGUAAUACGGAGGGUGCGAGCGUUAAUCGGAAUUACUGGGCGUAAAGCGCGCGUAGGCGGUCUGAUAAGCCGGUUGUGAAAGCCCCGGGCUCAACCUGGGAACGGCAUCCGGAACUGUCAGGCUAGAGUGCAGGAGAGGAAGGUAGAAUUCCCGGUGUAGCGGUGAAAUGCGUAGAGAUCGGGAGGAAUACCAGUGGCGAAGGCGGCCUUCUGGACUGACACUGACGCUGAGGUGCGAAAGCGUGGGUAGCAAACAGGAUUAGAUACCCCGGUAGUC
rnacentral:rRNA from 1 species